UACGGGGGGGGGUAAGCGUUGUUCGGAAUUACUGGGCGUAAAGGGCUCGUAGGCGGCCAACUAAGUCAUACGUGAAAUCCCUCAGCUUAACUGGGGAACUGCGUGUGAUACUGGAUGGCUUGGAUUUGGGAGAGGGAUGCGGAAUUUCAGGUGUAGCGGUGAAAUGCGUAGAUAUCGAAGGAACUCAGUGGCGAAAGCGACUUCCUGGACCAAUCUGACGCUCAUGUGCGAAACGUGGGGAGCAAACAGGG
rnacentral:rRNA from 1 species